rnacentral:rRNA from 1 species
AUUGAACGCUGGCGGAAUGCUUUACACAUGCAAGUCGAACGGCAGCACGGGAGCUUGCUCCUGGUGGCGAGUGGCGAACGGGUGAGUAAUACAUAGGAACAUACCCAGUAAUGGGGGAUAACGCCGAGAAAUCGGUGCUAAUACCGCAUACGCCCUACGGGGAAAGCGGGGAUCGUAAGACCUCGCGUUAUACGAGCGGCCGAUGCCGGAUUAGCUAGUUGGUGGGGUAAAGGCCCACCAAAGCGACGAUCCGUAGCUGGUCUGAGAGGACGACCAGCCACACUGGGACUGAGACACGGCCCAGACUCCUACGGGAGGCAG